UACGUAGGGUGCGAGCGUUAAUCGGAAUUACUGGGCGUAAAGCGUGCGCAGGCGGUUUGACAAGACAGGCGUGAAAUCCCCGGGCUUAACCUGGGAAUGGCGCUUGUGACUGUCAGGCUAGAGUAUGUCAGAGGGGGGUAGAAUUCCACGUGUAGCAGUGAAAUGCGUAGAGAUGUGGAGGAAUACCGAUGGCGAAGGCAGCGCCCUGGGACGUGACUGACGCUCAUGCACGAAAGCGUGGGGAGCAAACAGG
rnacentral:rRNA from 1 species